rnacentral:rRNA from 1 species
AUUGAACGCUGGCGGCAGGCCUAACACAUGCAAGUCGAGCUGAUGAAGGGAGCUUGUUCCUGGAUUCAGCGGCGGACGGGUGAGUAAUGCCUAGGAAUCUGCCUGGUAGUGGGGGAUAACGUCCGGAAACGGGCGCUAAUACCGCAUACGUCCUGAGGGAGAAAGUGGGGGAUCUUCGGACCCCACGCUAUCAGAUGAGCCUAGGUCGGAUUAGCUAGUUGGUGGGGUAAAGGCCUACCAAGGCGACGAUCCGUAACUGGUCUGAGAGGAUGAUCAGUCACACUGGAACUGAGACACGGUCCAGACUCCUACGGGAGGCAGCAGUGGGGAAUAUUGGACAAUGGGCGAAAGCCUGAUGCAGCCAUGCCGCGUGUGUGAAGAAGGUCUUCGGAUUGUAAAGCACUUUAAGUUGGGAGGAAGGGAAGUAAGUUAAUACCUUGCUGUUUUGACGUUACCAACAGAAUAAGCACCGGCUAACUUCGUG